rnacentral:rRNA from 1 species
UUCCCCAAAUGGCGAAAACCCUGAUGGAGCAACCCCGCUUUUGUGAUGAAGGCUUUCGGGUCGUAAAGCACUGUUGUAUGGGAAGAACAGCUAGAAUAGGAAAUGAUUUUAGUUUGACGGUACCAUACCAGAAAGGGACGGCUAAAUACGUGCCAGCAGCCGCGGUAAUACGUAUGUCCCGAGCGUUAUCCGGAUUUAUUGGGCGUAAAGCGAGCGCAGACGGUUUAUUAAGUCUGAUGUGAAAGCCCGGAGCUCAACUCCGGAAUGGCAUUGGAAACUGGUUAACUUGAGUGCAGUAGAGGUAAGUGGAACUCCAUGUGUAGCGGUGGAAUGCGUAGAUAUAUGGAAGAACACCAGUGGCGAAGGCGGCUUACUGGACUGCAACUGACGUUGAGGCUCGAAAGUGUGGGUAGCAAACAGGAUUAGAUACCCUGGUAGUCCACACCGUAAACGAUGAACACUAGGUGUUAGGAGGUUUCCGCCUCUUAGUGCCGAAGCUAACGCAUUAAGUGUUCCGCCUGGGGAGUACGACCGCAAGGUUGAAACUCAAAGGAAUUGACGGGGACCCGCACAAGCGGUGGAGCAUGUGGUUUAAUUCGAAGCAACGCGAAGAACCUUACCAGGUCUUGACAUCCUUUGAAGCUUUUAGAGAUAGAAGUGUUCUCUUCGGAGACAAAGUGACAGGUGGUGCAUGGUCGUCGUCAGCUCGUGUCGUGAGAUGUUGGGUUAAGUCCCGCAACGAGCGCAACCCUUAUUGUUAGUUGCCAGCAUUCAGAUGGGCACUCUAGCGAGACUGCCGGUGACAAACCGGAGGAAGGCGGGGACGACGUCAGAUCAUCAUGCCCCUUAUGACCUGGGCUACACACGUGCUACAAUGGCGUAUACAACGAGUUGCCAACCCGCGAGGGUGAGCUAAUCUCUUAAAGUACGUCUCAGUUCGGAUUGUAGUCUGCAACUCGACUACAUGAAGUCGGAAUCGCUAGUAAUCGCGGAUCAGCAC